CACUGGAGAAAGCAAUAAAUAUCUGCAGAGUGGCAGAGACAACGAAAUUUGAGAUUAAACAGAUAACAGAAGAUGAUAAGCCAUGCACAAUCAAGCAGUUAGAUGCAGUUAAACAGAAACAGCCCCGGGAAGGAACAAAUAGACAGCCUGAAGUGUUUUUAUGCUUCUAUGACCUAAACAUGGGAGAGACAGUGUGGACUCAGCACGAAGGGAUCUGAAAUCCUGCUGUUGUCACAGGAAUCACAAGAGAACCAAGGUCUUACAUAGUGUUGACUCCAAAUGGAGAAACCAAAAAUACUUAUGGAAAAAAAUUGAAACGUAACCCUGCUGUGAAACAGAAAGUGUAACCAAAGAUCAAAAACCAAAAUGCACCAGUGAAGCAACAGAUAACAAAGCCUGAGAGUCCUGAAAACUAUUCAAGGGGUGAUAGUGACACAGAGCUGGAGAAGACCCCUUGUCCUUCAAAAUCACUUCUAUCACUAUUCAGAACAUCUAGUGGAAGAAUUAUGAAAAAACCUCAGAGAUACAGAGUAACAAGAUGACAUCACAAGGUCGGAACAGCUGCAGCAGACAUGGAAGAAAUCAGGUGCAGGAGCAGGGACUACCACCUACCUGGAGAGCGAAUUGCAGAGUUCUGGGGUGCUACAGCGUUUGGAAGAAAAAGUGGAAAUAAAAUACAUCAAACAAUUACACCACAAGAAAGCUGUGAGCUGGUGACUGGUGAAACACUUCAUCAGUUUUUUCUAAUGAUGAAAGGAAGAUGCUUCAUUCUUGUGUUCCUACUGACUUUUCGUACUGUAAUGUUGGGU